rnacentral:ncRNA from 2 species
ACCUAGGGUAGAGGUGCUGUAACUAAUAGUAUCUAUGCUGAGCCGGCGGGCAAAGAAGCAUAGGGAAAGGAGUUAUAGCCGAAGGGAAAAUAUCCGCAAGAGUUUUCCCUGGCAUUGUAUAAAAUAUAUACAAUGCUGUCAUCAUGAAAAUGAUGGAGAGCUACAAGGUAC